GGGAACGUCUAUACAGAAACGAUGUCAGGUGCACUGAACGUGGAGCCCGGCUCUGUUAAACAUGUUCACUUUGAACAGGACAGCAGAGAAAGCAUGGUGGACAUCUACGUGAGUACGGAGAGCCUGAAAGUGUACGACACCCCCUGGGUGGAGGGCGCGUCACCAAAUUCUCCAGGACCAUCACAGAAUCCUGCCAUGAUGUCUUUUGUCGGUGAAACAUCCGUGAAGAGGAGUCCUGUCAGAUGGGACUGUGUCUUCCUGGGUGUGUUGUGUCUGCUUCUCUUGAUUGGAAUCGUCUACCUCGCAGUCCAAAUGACCCACCACCAACAUACCUGGAGAGACAACCAAACGCCAGAGGAAGAAAAUGAAGUUUGCAAGAACCUGACUAUACAGUUAUCUAUGAUUAACAAAAACAUAGAAACCUUGUGCAGCAUGCUCCAAAAACCCAUAAACGAAGUCUGUGACGCUAGAAAUCAGGAAAGAACACAGGACUGAGCGUCCAACGCAACUUAAACAGUGCCGGAGCAUGACACGUUGAAUACCAUCUAAACAAUGACCAGCCACUUUGACGUCUUUAAGGCAGGGUUCCAUGUUCACCAUAGUACAGAGACCGCUCUUGUCAAUGUGUCCAAUGACAUCUGCAUGAAUGCAGACUGUGGAAGAACCACAGUACUGGUAUUACUGGACCUCAGCACAGCAUUCAACACUGUUGACCAUGCUAUAUUACAGGACUGGGUUGGUCUUUCUGGGACAGUACUUGACGGGUUUGAGUCUAACUUGAAGGACAGGGACGUCUUUGUAUCAACUGGUAACUAGGGCUGGGCCUUUAUCUUAUCGUUUUUUCUUUUUUUUUUUUCUCUCGUUAUUGUGAAACAUUUCUUAUUAUGAUAAGAAGAUUUGAAUUUAUCUUGACAACUAUAAAUUCCAACUACUGGUGUCUGAAAACCCCCAAAACU